UAUGUUUGAGGAACACUAGGCUGUUGUCUAGACGAGGCAAGCUCUGGAAAGCAACGCCGAGUCUCUGAGAAGAGGGAGCAUAGGCUGUGCUGAUUUAAAAACAGAAAAUGCAAAGUUGGACUGAAAAUAUCCCACGUCUUCUAAGCAAUCUGCUUAAGGCUUCCAAACUUACCUUAAUUUGGUAAGAAAAUAAGCUGCCCUAUUUUUCUUUCUUCUUCUCUUACAACUGGAAGCAGCCAUUUCCCCAAACCACCACCAUG
rfam:Mus musculus chromosome 2, GRC primary reference assembly.